rnacentral:rRNA from 1 species
CCUACGGGAGGCAGCAGUGGGGAAUAUUGCACAAUGGGGGAAACCCUGAUGCAGCGACGCCGCGUGAGUGAAGAAGUAAUUCGUUAUGUAAAGCUCUAUCAGCAGGGAAGAAAAUGACGGUACCUGAGUAAGAAACCACGGCUAACUACGUGCCAGCAGCCGCGGUAAUACGUAGGGGGAAAGCUUUAUCCGGAUUUACUGGGUGUAACGGGAGCGUAGACGGCAGUGCAAGUCUGGAGUGAAAGGCGGGGGCUCAACCCCCGGACUGCUCUGGAAACUGUACGGCUGGAGUGCAGGAGAGGUAAGUGGAAUUCCUAGUGUAGCGGUGAAAUGCGUAGAUAGUAGGAGGAACACCAGUGGCGAAGGCGGCUUACUGGACUGUAACUGACGUUGAGGCUCGAAAGCGUGGGGAGCAAACAGGAUUAGAUACCCGAGUAGUC